ACGGGCUGCCAGGAACACACCGAACUUUACAAACUGGGCAGGUCCGCUCGAAAGCAAAUCAUAUUAAGCAAAUCCGACCAGCUUUAAACUCAAACCUCCAAAGGUCGUGAUUACUCACCCCAAUGGGAUGGAAUCGAGAGCGGACACAAUUGCAUGCACGGUACCGAGAAUCAGAUUGAGUUGAGGGAUGGGACCCACUUGUUAGAUUUAUAUGUCCUUUUUUUCUCAAACAGUUUUGCCAGAACAUUCACGCGUAGCUGUUGGAUGAGUACGUUCCUUCGACUUCCUACAUGAUAAUGUGAAUCGUAACUCUUUGUAUAUAUAGAUUAACGUACAAUGCAGAUUAGUUGUACUUUUACCGAGCGUGCGACUUGUCGUUUGCGUGGAGAUCAAUCUCGAAGAAGAUUACUAUUGUUUGAUCAAUGCUUGUGCAUGAUUAACAUCAAUAGGUUAUGGGCCUCUACGACGUUAACCUCUGCAUCCUCUGUUCUCUUAAAUUGCUGCAUCUUUUUUGUUUCUGCCAAGACGUCCUCUGUAAAUGAAGUUGCUAAUUUGAAUUGUGCAUUGGCUCGGAUCAUCAACUCUACACUCAUAGCUCCGCUCGCUUGCCCCUGCCAUAGCAGUUAUGUAAUUUUCUUUCCGAGAGCGCCUUCUUGCCACCAAAGUCUCUUCUGAAUGCAAGAAGCACACGAUGAUUUUGGAGACUUAGCCUUUUACACUUGGGGACAAAAUAAAAAAUCUAUGCCAAUAAGUCCAACUUUGACUUCAACUUUUUUGUUCCACGCCUACUCGAUUUCUUCUCAAGAUGAAACUAGGUUUGCAGAUUUUGCCGCCACAAGACAUGUAACAAAUUGCCAGGUAUGGUUCAAAAAAUUCACUCUAAUUCCCUGAGAACACUGGCCAAUUAUAACGAUAGCAUUUUCAUGGUUGAUCAUUGUAAUUGAUCGUUUUCAACAAUCCUCCUCAAGACCAUUAUAUUGACCUCCAAAAAAACAUUUAUGGCAUAAAGAAAAUCACUUGUCAAUCGAGUAAAUUUUUUGACAUGUUUUAAAAACAAUUCAGCCUUUAUCCAUCUAUUGCCGACCCUUGUACCAACCUCAACAACAAUAUUUUUCUUCGCACAAUUGUUGGAAUUUAUGUUGACAAAUUUGUUGGUUCCAGCCCAAUAAUGUCAAAAGAAAAAGAAAAAGAAUUGUUAAGCCACUUUUAAAGUCACCAUAAGCUCCCAUGAUUAUUUUGUGGGUUUUCAAAUUCAAUGAUCCUCACCACGUAGCUUAAUCUUCUUCCAUCAUCAAUGCCAAUAUGUUAUGGCAGUUCUCAACCGCUUCUACAUGUUUGAUUAUAACCAUGUUUCCACUCUUUGCCAAAACUCGAUCUACUCAUUUUGCUAAUCUACCAGAUGAUUAGUUAACAACAAAACCAUAUACACAAUGUGAUAUCAUGCAGGAAGCCGAGAACUCGAAUGCUAAAUCAAAGCACCUGAAGGCAAUGUUUGUUUCUUUCAUCUGUCGUGCGCACGUUUUUUCGCAAAAGAGCGAAAGCAAGGUCAGGAUUGGUGCCAUUACCACCAACCUAGAAAGGAAAGGCGCUAUCCAAAGCUAAGGAGGGGUUGACCACUGUAUACUUUCCCGACUGGUACUCCGAGAUUUCACCAGGGAUAGCCCAAAAUAGACUUGGGUGUUUUGACCCUAUCACUCACGCAGAUGCUGUGGCUUGAAUCAAAUUUCCAGAACAUUUUAAAAAUAGAAUGACACUUGCGAAUAAUGGAAGACGCUGAAAACUAUCCACGCAAAACUUGUCAAAUUGAGUACGCGAUUAAAGCUGUGAAAUUCUUCGCAGAAAACUUUAAUAAUUCACACAAAAUUCCAAAUCCCAGUCAUGAUUUGAGAACGUUGAGGAGGUAAUGGAGAUCCAGUUUGUGUUGCUGAUCAAGCACACAAUCCUCUGAAACCACACUAUGUGUUCAUUCAAAAUGGUUAUAUCCUUGACUUGAGAUCUUUCACAUAUUUCGCUAAAAUUUACUCUGCUGUAUUUCAUCGAGAGUCUCAGAAAUUCGCUAAUAAUAGAAUUCAUACUGAUUCCCCUGUUCAUGGCAAAUACAGUGUUGUUCCUCUUGCUAUUUUAAUUGAAACAUGGAAGUUGGAAUAUUGCGUUUUAAAGUUGGUCUUCCAU
rnacentral:lncRNA from 1 species